rnacentral:lncRNA from 1 species
AAGUCUCAGAGGCUUGUGGAGGAGGAUGGAAGGAGCACAGAGUGGAUCUCGAGGACAUGAAAUAGCUGUGCUGCAGCCCCAAAAGCCUUUGUGUAACUGCAGAACCCAUCAAGGCAGUAGGAACCUGCAGCUGAGAAAAGAGCCUGAGCAGGAGAGGUUUACCUGGUCAGGUAUAAGAAGUUUUCAAAAAUUAGCCAGAAGUGCUGUGAGAUCCUGAGCCUGCAAAGCAUGGCAAUUGUACACAGUCUGGAGGAAAAUAAGAUCACUGCCUCAUUUUCUCAGCAGAUGGAAAUUGCUGUGCAAAAUUGAGCCGUUCCUUUGAACAGGUAAGAAACCCUUCUUGCCUGGUGUGGCUUGGUGCCAGCACCCAGUGUGCCUUGGAGUAACUCAUCCUGGAGUUAUCUCUUAGUUCUCAUGGAGGAUGGAGGUAGUGAUUAAUAAUACUAAUAUUACUACUACUAAUAAUAAUAUCAGUAGACAGGAGUAAGACUUUCCCCUGAUUUUUAGGGGGUAGGUAAAUCUCAAGGAUUCAGCGGCAGCACAGCCCAAAAUUAGCGUUUCAGUGAUUAAGAAAUGUUCUGGCUGCAGACUUUGAGAUCUUGACAGCAUUGUAGCAAAAGUGAUGUGUAAAUUGGAGAGAUACUGGGAGCUGUUGAGCUUGAAUUGAUUUGGUUAUUCAGGCACUGGAAAUCUGAAGUAGUUCAGAGCAGGUUUGUGGUGGAGGGAACAGCUAAGCACAAGGGCUGAGUAAGCUGGGCUCUUAGUGGAGUGUUUGUACUUGCACAGAGUAAGUAUGCUCUGAAAAGCUUCCUGAAAAUAAGCAAGUUAUUUUCAUUAUCUGAUCAGCAAGUUGUAUGAGCGAGACUUUGAUUUUUAAAUCAUAAAUUUGGAGCGUGAGUUGUUUGCACUGUGUCGAUUCUUAGCCAGGAAUGGGUUAAAAUAUGGGAAGAAGCUCCCAAACAAACUUACCCUGUUUUGCAGUGUUUUGUCCCAUGACACUUCCCACCCUGAGUCUCAUUAUUUGGUAGGCACCAGGAUGUCACAUGCUUUGGAGACAGCCUGUGCCAACACAGGAAUGAUGAAAGUCAGUGAAGGUGGAGUGCACAGGGCAGCCAAAGCAUCACAAAGGUUCACUACCAUCCCCUUUUAUGCCCACUGAAAUGUUGUUACCUGAUAUUAUGGUUAUUUUUAUGUCUUUUGGGGUUAUUUAUCUGUCU